CUGGACCUUUGGUGACUUCGAGAGAGUCAGAGACACGAAAACAGAAGCACGGUACACCUAAAAGAUGCCCGAUUACAUUCGAGAAAAGACACUCAGAGGAAUGAGUAGAUUAAUGCUGGCCGUCGUGGUUAUCUCACUUGGAAAUCAACACUGCGAUGCCGGAAAAUCCCUGCUUCCGAGCACUUUUCCUUGGUUAUUUCGGGGUUCCAAUCCACCGGGAAGGUUGAGGUGAAGGAUGCAGAGCGUGUGAUCAUAACGGAAACUCGGACAGCGGAUCAAACGCUGGACGACACCUUGACACUACAAGACUUCAACAGGGAUCUGCAGGCUGUGAAGGACUUAAAGAGAGAUCAAUGUUUCAUUCUACCCCUGGGUACCCCGUACGAGGAGGCUAAGGUUGCUGCCCAGGACAAACAUGUAAGUGGUAACCCCCCUGGGUAUCCCAUAUGGGGAGGUUAAGGCUUCUUCCCAGGACAUAUAUAAGUGGUACCCCCC